GAUGAACGCUGGCGGCGUGCCUAAUACAUGCAAGUCGAGCGAACGGACGAGAAGCUUGCUUCUCUGAUGUUAGCGGCGGACGGGUGGGUAACACGUGGAUAACCUACCUAUAAGACUGGGAUAACUUCGGGAAACCGUAGCUAGUACCGGAUAAUAUUUUGAACCGCAUGGUUCAAAAGUGAAAGACGGUCUUGCUGUCACUUAUAGAUGGAUCCGCGCUGCAUUAGCUAGUUGGUAAGGUAACGGCUUACCAAGGCAACGAUGCAUAGCCGACCUGAGAGGGUGAUCGGCCACACUGGAACUGAGACACGGUCCAGACUCCUACGGGAGGCAGCAGUAGGGAAUCUUCCGCAAUGGGCGAAAGCCUGACGGAGCAACGCCGCGUGAGUGAUGAAGGUCUUCGGAUCGUAAAACUCUGUUAUUAGGGAAGAACAUAUGUGUAAGUAACUGUGCACAUCUUGACGGUACCUAAUCAGAAAGCCACGGCUAACUACGUG
rnacentral:rRNA from 1 species